AACGAACGCUGGCGGCAGGCCUCAAACAUGCAAGUCUAGGGGGUGUAGCAAUACAUCACCGGCGGACGGGUGCGUAACGCGUGGGAAUAUACCUAUUGGUUCGGAACAACUGAGGGAAACUUCAGCUAAUACCGGAUACGUCCUUACGGAGAAAGAUUUAUCGCCAAUAGAUUAGCCCGCGUUCGAUUAGCUAGUUGGUGGGGUAACGGCCCACCAAGGCGACGAUCGAUAGCUGUUCUGAGAGGAAGAUCAGCCACACUGGGACUGAGACACGGCCCAGACUCCUACGGGAGGCAGCAGUUGGGAAUCUUGGACAAUGGGGGAAACCCUGAUCCAGCCAUGCCGCGUGAGUGAUGAAGGCCUUCGGUUGGUAAACUACUUUCGUCGCACGACGAUAAUAGACGGUAGUGCGAGAAGAAGCUCCGGCUAACUUACGUGCCAGCAGCCGCGGUAAUGUCGUACGA
rnacentral:rRNA from 1 species